rnacentral:rRNA from 1 species
GCUCGAGUGGCGAACGGGUGAGUAACACGUGAGUAACCUGCCCUUGACUUUGGGAUAACUUCAGGAAACUGGGGCUAAUACCGGAUAGGAGCUCCUGCUGCAUGGUGGGGGUUGGAAAGUUUCGGCGGUUGGGGAUGGACUCGCGGCUUAUCAGCUUGUUGGUGGGGUAGUAGCUUACCAAGGCUUUGACGGGUAGCCGGCCUGAGAGGGUGACCGGCCACAUUGGGACUGAGAUACGGCCCAG